AGAUAUGUCUAUAGCAAAGCGUUAAUGCACUGGAUUUUAUUAGAACUAUGUAGUUAAGUGUGCUCAGGUUAGUAGUUAAGUGCGUUCAGGCUAGAGUAGUACUAGGAUGGGUGACCAUCCAAUGAGUUCUAGUGUUUUUUUAU
rnacentral:rRNA from 1 species